UUAACUUCGGGGUGNCAGGCGAUACGGGCAUAACUAGAGUGCUGUAGGGGAGACUGGAAUUCNUGGUGUAGCGGUGGAAUGCGCAGAUAUCAGGAGGAACACCGAUGGCGAAGGCAGGUCUCUGGGCAGUAACUGACGCUGAGGAGCGAAAGCAUGGGGAGCGAACAGGAUUAGAUACCCUGGUAGUCCAUGCUGUAAACGGUGGGCGUUAGGUGUGGGGACCGGUUUGGUUUCUGUGCCGUAGCUAACGCAUUAAGCGCCCCGCCUGGGGAGUACGGCCGCAAGGCUAAAACUCAAAGGAAUUGACGGGGGCCCGCACAAGCGGCGGAGCAUGUGGAUUAAUUCGAUGCAACGCGAAGAACCUUACCUGGGUUUGACAUGCACCAGACGGUUGUAGAGAUACGUACCUCCCUUUGUGGUUGGUGUGCAGGUGGUGCAUGGUUGUCGUCAGCUCGUGUCGUGAGAUGUUGGGUUAAGUCCCGCAACGAGCGCAACCCUUGUCUUAUGUUGCCAGCACGUUUAGGGUGGGGACUCAUGAGAGACUGCCGGGGUUAACUCGGAGGAAGGUGGGGAUGACGUCAAAUCAUCAUGCCCUUUAUGCCCAGGGCUUCACACAUGCUACAAUGGUUAGUACAACGCGCGGCAAACCUGUGAGGGUGAGCGAAUCGCUGAAAGCUAAUCUCAGUUCGGAUUGGGGUCUGCAACUCGACCCCAUGAAGUCGGAGUCGCUAGUAAUCGCAGAUCAGCAAUGCUGCGGUGAAUACGUUCCCGGGCCUUGUACACACCGCCCGUCACGUCAUGAAAGUUGGUAACACCCGAAGCCCAUGGCCUAA
rnacentral:rRNA from 1 species